GGGUGCGAUCAUACCAGCGUUAAUGCACCGGAUCCCAUCAGAACUCCGCAGUUAAGCACGCUUGGGCUGGAGUAGUACUAGGAUGGGUGACCUCCUGG
rnacentral:rRNA from 1 species